UGGGGAAUUUUGCACAAUGGGGGAAACCCUGAUGCAGCGACGCCGCGUGAUUUAGAAGGCCUUCGGGUUGUAAAAAUCUUUUCUACGGGAAGAAAAUGACAGUACCAUAGGAAUAAGGACCGGCUAAUUCCGUGCCAGCAGCCGCGGUAAUACGUAAGGUCCGAGCGUUGUCCGGAAUCAUUGGGCGUAAAGGGUACGUAGGCGGGUAAGCAAGUUAGAAGUGAAAUCCUAUAGCUCAACUAUAGUAAGCUUUUAAAACUGCUCAUCUUGAGGUAUGGAAGGGAAAGUGGAAUUCCUAGUGUAGCGGUGAAAUGCGCAGAUAUUAGGAGGAAUACCGGUGGCGAAGGCGACUUUCUGGCCAUAACCUGACGCUGAGGUACGAAAGCGUGGGUAGCAAACAGG
rnacentral:rRNA from 1 species